rnacentral:lncRNA from 1 species
AGAAUUCAAGACCUGCUUGAGCCUGCCUCUGCCCCACUGUACCCCAUUCCAAGCACGGGGCCCCUUCACUUUCAGGACCUUUUGGUUGUCAUUGUUCUACGUAUUUACUUAUUAUUUAUUGUUGACUCAUAUCUCCCAGGCUGGUCUUGAACUCGCCGUGUAGGAGCAGAUGACUUUGAACUGCUGUGUGCCUGUCAUUGUAGGCUUAUACCACCACUGCAGCUUUGUGUGGCGCUGAGGAUGGGGUCCAGGGCUUUGUGUAUGCUAGCCAAGCAUCCCCAGCCCUCAGCCUUUUUGGAAAUGAAAAAUAAGUGUGAGAUUGUUUUUCGGAUUUCAUUUCUUUUACUGUGUGUGUGGGUGCGGCUGUACAUGUGCACAGAACUCAUGGGAAAGUCAGAAGACAGCUCUCAGGACUUCACUGUAGGCAUAGAGUUUUUGCAACCUACUUUUAAUAAGGGUUCAACCCUCCUCCAGCUCACCACCCAGCAGAGGCAGUAAAAAAUUAUUAGGAUACGGAGGAAGUGGACCUGCUCAGCAAUAGUUCUUUAGGGGCGAGCUUGAUCUCCUUUGGCAGCAGCUCUGUCCUGUAGCAAACACCAAACAUGAUUCAGCAGCUGCAGACCAGGCCUCUAGAUAGGCAGACACCAGGCAUGAACCAGCAGCUAUAGUCUAGUCCUGAAGAAACCACCAGGCUUGCCCACUAGCCUGAGGUGAGGCUGCAGAAGUGGCAAGCUGCCCCAGGAACCUCAAGAGCAAUGCUAGGGUGAGUUUCUUCUCUCAAUGGUGGUGUUACCACAAGUUGAGCUCAACAACAGCAUGUAAGAUAAACAAAUGUGUGUCUUUAUCGAAGAAUAGUGAGGUGGAGCAAACCAAAUCAAGGCUCAGUGCUCACCUCCCACUGUCUGUGGGGUCAGAUUUCUACUCCUUCAUCAGGUGUCCUUUCACGUGUUUGGUAUUUCAAAACAUCCUUAUGCCUGUGUCUGCUUCAGGAAAACAGUCUUCCACAUGUUUGCUUUAGCAAAAUAUCCUUUCAUCUGUGUGCCUCAGCAAGACAUUAUUUAAUAUGAUCACUUUCAAAGAACUAGAAAUGUUCACUCAUAUUCCGCUUUCUGUUUUUCAUUCUUGCCACUUUGAAGGAUCUGGCUUGAUCUCCGGUUAUCAGGCUUGUGCCCCAGGGCCUCUGCCUGCUGAGCAUUCUUUUUUUUUUUGUUGUGUGAAAUUUUAUAACCUUUCUAUUCAUCUAUCUAUCUAUCUAUCUAUCUAUCUAUCUAUCUAUCUAUCUAUCUAUCUAUCUAUCUAUCUAUCUAUCUGGGUCUCACUAUGUAGCCCUAACUGUCCUGGAACUCACUCUAUAGACCAGGCUAUCCUUGAACUCACAGAGAUCUAUCUACCUGUCUCUGUCUCUGAGAUCUGUCUGCUUCUGCCUCCUGAGUGCUGGAAUUAAAGCUGUACCCAGCUUCAAAAUCUUACAUUCUUCUUAGCUUAGAGCCAUGUGCAAGAGUUUAUCGUUGCAAUUGUCUGGAACAGACCUAUACAUUUAUAUUAUAUUUUACAUAUCAUCAUUUGGACAUCUCUCUUGCGUACAGGAUUUGGUUUGGAUUUUGGUUCUUAGAACACUUAGGAGAGAGCUGGGACUUCUUUCGCUCCAUCCUGGUUCCUAAUCUGAUACUGACUUUUCUGCUCUGCCCACUUGUAGGAGGCAUUUUCUCAUGAAAAUGUUUUCUGUGUCUGAGUUCUGUUGUUUAUAUACUGCCUAUCCCAAAUCUCAAUGAAUCUUUUUCUUAAUUAAUUUAUUUAUUAUAUGUAAGUACACUGUAGCUGUCUUCAGACACACCAGAAGAGGGCGUCAGAUCCCAUUACAGAUGGUUGUGAGCCACCAUGUGGUUGCUGGGACUUGAACUCAGGAUUUCUGGAAGAGCAGACAGUACUAUUAACUGCUGAGCCAUCUCUCCAGCCCCCUCGACGAGUCUUGUAUGUUCUUAUUGGGAUACAUGAGAAAGGUAGGAAAAGGCACAAAUCACGGGUACACAGCGUAACAACUUACUACAAAGUAAACAUAUGCAGCAUCCAGAUCUAGCGGAGGACAUGAACUGAGGCUAAGUCACCUGUAGGAUAGAGGAGGACAUGAAUUGAGGCUAAGUCACCUGUAGGAUGUUUUCCUACCGUUUAUGAAACUCUGGGCUCUCAGUCCACAGCAGCAUAUAAACCACAUGUCAGUAGUCCUAGCACUUGAGAAGUAGAAGCAGGGGGUCAGUGGGUUAUCCUCAGCUAUGCAGUGCAUUUGAGGCUAGCCUGGGCUACAUGAGACUCUUGUCAC